UUUAAAAAAAAAAAAAGCGAACCCAGAACAAAGACAGGACAUUGACAAGAGCUAUACUGGGAUCCCAAGCAGUUCCAAGAAUAACUUGCCCUUUCUGUACCUUCCCUUCAAGUUCCAGAAAGCUCUCAAGGUUGUUUGUUUGCCAGAAGGAUGUGCAUGUUCGUGUUUAGUUUUUCAAGUGAUAAAACGGGAAGGGGGGGGGGUUCCAAAGAAGGGCUAGCACUGGACCUUGCAAACAUUAAUAAAUAUUUGUCUAACUGAAUUGAAAUGCUUGUCUAGCCCACCCUCUGGGAGAAGCGCGGCGCCAAUGCGUGAUGUGAAUUUUGAAGCCAAGUUGACUCUGGUAUUAGAUAAACUUUCUGAUCCCAGUUCCUCCUCCCUGUGGCUUUCCACUUCGGCAAGGAAGGGACGAGUGGGGACUGUGAGGAGGGGAAGGGGGGCGGAGAAGGAGAUGGGGGUGUGUGUGUGUGGGGGGGAGUCCUAGCGCCGCGCAGGCGCUUUCCCCACCACCUCUUACCAUCACCCCCCCGCUCCCAAUCCCCUGUCGGGGCUCGGAGCCUCAGCUCCUGUGGGACGCCAAUGCACUUGUAAAGGGAGGGCUGGAGGCAGACACAAAGCCUGGGCCCUCCCCCUCCGUGUCCUCCUCCUCCUCUCUGCUCGGAAGUCCUGCCCUGGUGCUGCGCUGGUGCCAGUCCAGGGCCGAGGCUCUCCUUCUGUCCCACACACCCCCAGCCCAGACCUCUCGACCUGCAGCGAGGGCAGUGCAAGUUUUAUUACUUCAUUUGUCACAUUCCUCAAGUUUAGUAACCUACAGUUUUGAUGAGAGACAGAAUGAAGUAGUAUAUAGAGAGCUGGACUCGAAGCCAGGCUCUCAGACUCUGAUUAUGUCAAGCACGACUCAUACUUGUGGAAUAGGUAUCCCAGAAGAAACCCAUGACUGUUGGUUAGUACUGACCAACUAAGUCAAGUUUGCUGCUUGGAGGAGAAUAUGGAAGACCGAUCUAUAAAGUAUUUUCACUGGCAUUUAAUUAGCCCUUCAUCUGCCAACCACAUCUACAGAGAGCUUUAAAGUUGUAGUUACCACAAAAUAACCACAUGAGGUUGAUGGUACAUUGUUAGGAUCUUUUUGCAGAUGAUGAAACUCAGAUUCCAAAACAUGAAGUGACUUGCCCGUGGUCGCAUAUGCAGUAAAUGACAGAGGUGGUGAACCUAGGUCUUUUCUGAUGACAAGGCCAGAGUUCCAUCUACUAUAUCAUGUUGCCCUUAAACAAAAUGGCAGAAAGUCAGUUAGCUGGAAGAAGAGAGAAUAGCCAAGAGUAUGCCCAGUAGGGCCUGUAGCCCUGACAGAGCAGGAACAGUAGGUUAGCUGGGAGGAUAGAGAGCCAAUGGGACAUGGAGAAGGAUUUGUGGAAAGAGUUGGCUUCACGUCAAGUCAGCAGGCAUUAAUAAGUGACUCCUAUAUGCCAGGCACCAUAACAAGCACAGAGGAUACAAAGAAAGGCAGAAAUAGUACCUGCCCUUGAGAAGUUUACACUCUAACGGGGGAGACAAGAUGCAAACAACUCUGGAAGACCAUAGCAUUACAAUAGACCAGGAAAGACCUCUCCCAGCCCUUGCAGGAGGUAGAAUUUUCACUCACACUUGGAGGAAGCUAGGGAAGUCAGGAGAUAGAAAUAGUGGAGAGGAUGCUAGACAUGGGGGUGCUAGUAUGGAUACAACUGGAGACGGAGGAACAACAAAGAGGGCAGUGUCAUUGGAUCACAGAGUGUAUGAAGGGGAAUAAAGUGUAAGGUAGAAGAAGCCUGGAAAGGCCC
ensembl:lncRNA